AUGCAAGUCGAGCGAUCUUCUUCGGAAGAGAGCGGCGGACGGGUGAGUAACGCGUGGGUAACCUGCCCUAUACACACGGAUAACAUACCGAAAGGUAUGCUAAUACGGGAUAACAUAAGAGAUUCGCAUGGAUUUCUUAUCAAAGCUUUUGCGGUAUAGGAUGGACCCGCGUCUGAUUAGCUAGUUGGUAAGGUAACGGCUUACCAAGGCGACGAUCAGUAGCCGACCUGAGAGGGUGAUCGGCCACAUUGGAACUGAGACACGGUCCAAACUCC
rnacentral:rRNA from 1 species